rnacentral:sRNA from 1 species
UAUCUCUCCGUACGGGGAAGGAUGAGAAGCUUUGACUAAGGUUCGAUUCGAGCGCAGCGAGA